rnacentral:rRNA from 1 species
UACGGGGGGAGCAAGCGUUGUUCGGAUUUACUGGGCGUAAAGGGCGCCUCGGCGGCGUGACAAGUCACUUGUGAAAUCUCCGGGCUUAACUCGGAACGGUCAAGUGAUACUGUCGUGCUAGAGUACAGAAGGGGCAACUGGAAUUCUCGGUGUAGCGGUGAAAUGCGUAGAUAUCGAGAGGAACACCUGCGGCGAAGGCGGGUUGCUGGGCUGAUACUGACGCUGAGGCGCGAAAGCCAGGGGAGCGAACGGG